rnacentral:tRNA from 1 species
GCCUGGGUGGCUAAGUGGGUUAAAGCCUCUGUCUUUGGCUCAGAUCAUGAUCUUAGGGUCCUGGGAUCGGGAUCGAGCCCCACCUCGGGCU